rnacentral:misc_RNA from 1 species
AUUUUUCAAUGUUUUCGGUAUAUACUAUAAUUCUACAAAAAUUACAAGAUUUUAAACUAGAGAAUAUACCACAAUUGUAUUUUAAAAUUUUUCUUAAAAUUGGCUUAUAAAGUACAGUACUUAAGAGCUAAUCAAACUUUGGUCAUACUUGAAAGAGUAGUAAAGUUUCAUUAAUUAACAAGCAAAGCUCAAACACCAUUUCUUCUUCUUCUUUCCUCCAUUAUAUCAUUAUUAAAAUACUUGUUCUGGUAUCAAAAAACUCCUUGGUUGGGAGCUCCGUCGUCUAGCUCAACAUAAAGACACUCUUUGG